GAUGAAGAACGUAGCGAAAUGCGAUAAGUAAUGUGAAUUGCAGAAUUCAGUGAAUCAUCGAAUCUUUGAACGCACAUUGCGCCCGCCAGUAUUCUGGCGGGCAUGCCUGUUCGAGCGACAUUUCAACCAUCAAGCCCCAGGCUUGUGUUGGGGACCUGCGGCUGCCGCAGGCCCUGAAAACCAGUGGCGGGCUCGCUGUCACACCGGGCGUAGUAGAUUUUAUCUCGCUCAGGGCGUGCUGCGGGUUCCGGCCGUUAAAAAGCCUUUUUUACCCAAGGUUGACCUCGGAUCAGGUAGGAAGACCCGCUGAACUUAAGCAUAUCAAUAAGCGGAGGA
rnacentral:misc_RNA from 1 species